AGCAAUAUAAUCAUGACUGGUUUUGCGUCGGUUUUCAUACAAGCUAGUCAUUUUUAUAGGCUCC
rnacentral:precursor_RNA from 1 species